AAAAAGACAAACCCUGGGCUUCCGUGUCCAACGUUUGACCGUCCGUCUUAUUUGAAAAAAUUAUGAAAAAAAUUAAAAAGACAAGUCACGUAUAAAGUAUUAAUCAUGUUUUAUCAUCUAACAACAAUAAAAAUACUAAUUAUAAAAAAAAUUCAUAUAAGACGGACAGUCAAACGUUGGACACGGAAACCCAAGGUUUGUCUUUUU
rfam:Oryza glaberrima chromosome 3 Oglab03_0004_9, whole genome shotgun sequence.